AGCGGCAGGCCUAACACAUGCAAGUCGAGGGGUAGAAAGAGCUUGCUUUUUUGAGACCGGCGCACGGGUGAGUAACGCGUAUGCAACCUACCUUAUACAGGGGAAUAGCCCGAAGAAAUUCGGAUUAAUGCUCCAUGGUUUAUCGAUAUGGCAUCGUAUUGAUAAUAAAGAUUUAUCGGUAUAAGAUGGGCAUGCGUAUCAUUAGCUAGUUGGUGUGGUAACGGCAUACCAAGGCAACGAUGAUUAGGGGUCCUGAGAGGGAGAUCCCCCACACUGGUACUGAGACACGGACCAGACUCCUACGGGAGGCAGCAGUGAGGAAUAUUGGUCAAUGGAGGCAACUCUGAACCAGCCAUGCCGCGUGCAGGAUGACGGUCCUAUGGAUUGUAAACUGCUUUUGUACAGGAAGAAACCUCCCUACGAGUAGGGACUUGACGGUACUGUAAGAAUAAGGAUCGGCUAACUCCGUGCCAGCAGCCGCGGUAAUACGGAGGAUCCGAGCGUUAUCCGGAAUUAUUGGGUUUAAAGGGUUCGUAGGCGGCUUUGUAAGUCAGUGGUGAAAUUUCCUAGCUUAACUAGGACACUGCCAUUGAUACUGCAGAGCUUGAAUAAUAUGGAAGUAACUAGAAUAUGUAGUGUAGCGGUGAAAUGCUUAGAUAUUACAUGGAAUACCAAUUGCGAAGGCAGGUUACUACGUAUUUAUUGACGCUGAUGAACGAAAGCGUGGGGAGCGAACAGGAUUAGAUACCCUGGUAGUCCACGCCGUAAACGAUGGAUACUAGCUGUUCGGUUUUCGGACUGAGUGGCUAAGCGAAAGUGAUAAGUAUCCCACCUGGGGAGUACGGUCGCAAGACUGAAACUCAAAGGAAUUGACGGGGGCCCGCACAAGCGGUGGAGCAUGUGGUUUAAUUCGAUGAUACGCGAGGAACCUUACCAGGGCUUAAAUGUAGAUUGACAGAUUUGGAACAGAUUUUUCUUCGGACAAUUUACAAGGUGCUGCAUGGUUGUCGUCAGCUCGUGCCGUGAGGUGUCAGGUUAAGUCCUAUAACGAGCGCAACCCCUGUUGUUAGUUGCCAGCACGUAAUGGUGGGAACUCUAGCAAGACUGCCAGUGUAACCUGUGAGGAAGGUGGGGAUGACGUCAAAUCAUCACGGCCCUUACGUCCUGGGCC
rnacentral:rRNA from 1 species